UGGCAUGUGUGUGGGCUACUGAAAAAUGGCGAACGUAGGUCCAUCGUUCUGCCACUUUGCACAGAUCACCAGGCACUCACCAACUUACUGACUACAAAAGGCAUGGGGAGAGCCGGAAUGCGGAUUGCUUAUUGGGCAGCUCGUCUGCUUUGUUUUGUCUAUGACGUUGUCUAUGGGCCGAGUUCCCAGAACCACACAGCAAACUGCUUGUCUCGUCUUCCCAUACCGGCACCUGCUGAUUCCUCUGGUGAUUUAGAGCCUGAAAUAGUUGCAUUGAUUUCUUCACCAUUAAGUUCUCUUUCAUUGACUGAUUUUGAAACUGUCUGUGCUGCUUGUCCUGAACUGGAAAUGCUGCGAAAGCAAAUUAUACAGGGCUGGCCACCCUCCAUCAAAGCGGUGAGUCAGGACCUGAUUCCAUACUUCAGAGUGAGAGAUGAACUCGCAGUGAAAGAUGCUUUCAUUUUCAGAGGAACAAGGUUGUUAGUUCCUGUGGCCCUGCAACACACUUUGAUUUCCUUGGCACACGAGUCUCACCAAGGAGUAGUCCGCAAAAAACAGAGGUUGCGGGAUCUUUACUGGUGGCCGCAGAUGGACACUCAGGUCCAGUCAACGAUUGCUACAUGCAUUCCCUGCCAGUCCAAUGACAAAUCGGCUGUGACGCAUCCAGCACCUCUGCAGCCAGUUCAGUUUCCUGAGGGUCCGUGGAAAAAACUGGGUCUGGAUAUAGUCGGACCAUUUGAAACAGCCACCCAUGGUUGCAGAUAUGCUAUAACGCUCACAGACUAUCAUUUCAAGUGGCCUGAGUUUGCAUUUGCUAGCAGUGCAACUACUGAGGACGUUGUCAAAUUUCUGAAUACUGUUUUUAGUCGUCAUGGCAACUUAGAGUGUAUCGUUACGGACAAUGGUACACAGUUCACCUCAACUGUUCUUGCUGAGUUUGUGAAUGAACGAGACAUAAAACACAUACGCACAUCUGUGUACUAUCCUGCAGCUAACGGUGCA
ensembl:lncRNA